AGAAUCUUCUUAAUAUAUCUUCAGCAAAUGUCGGCCAAUCUAUAAGAAGAUUGCUAGAUUCCAUGUGGGAGAACCAUUCUUGAGCUUCACCUUCCAUAUGAAAAGAAAUAAUCAGAAGUUUCUGAUUUUCUGGAAUGUUGUAAUAUAAGAAGUAUCUUCUUGUUGUAUACAACCAGCUCUUUACAUUUUUACCAUCGAACUUAGGCAUAUCUAGCCUU
rnacentral:lncRNA from 1 species